UACAGAGGUCCCAAGCGUUGUUCGGAUUCACUGGGCGUAAAGGGUGCGUAGGUGGUGGGGUAAGUCGGAUGUGAAAGCUCGGAGCUCAACUCCGAAAUGGCAUUGGAAACUACCCUGCCAGAGGAUUGGAGGGGGGACUGGAAUACUUGGUGUAGCAGUGAAAUGCGUAGAUAUCAAGUGGAACACCAGUGGCGAAGGCGAGUCCCUGGACAAUACCUGACACUGAGGCACGAAAGCUAGGGGGAGCAAACAGG
rnacentral:rRNA from 1 species